GACGAACGCUGGCGGCGUGCCUAAUACAUGCAAGUAGAACGCAGUUGCGAACGGGUGAGUAACGCGUAGGUAACUGCCUGGUAGCGGGGGAUAACUAUUGGACACGAUAGCUAAUACCGCAUACUACCAGAUGGACCUGCGUGGUAUUAGCUAGUUGGUGGGGUAACGGUGCACAAAGGCAACGAUACAUCGCCGACCUGAGAGGGGGAUCGGCCACACUGGGACUGAGCCACGGCCCAGACGCCUACGGAAGGCAGCAGUAGGGAAUCUGCGGCAAUGGACGGAAGUCUGACCGAGCAACGCCGCGUGAGUGAAGUAGUUUUUCGGAUCGUAAAGCUCUGUUGUAAGAGUAGCGGUAUCUUACCAGAAAGGGCCGGCUAACUACGUGCCAGCAGCCGCGGUAAUUC
rnacentral:rRNA from 1 species